rnacentral:rRNA from 1 species
GACGUAGGGCGCGAGCGUUGUCCGGAUUUAUUGGGCGUAAAGAGCUCGUAGGCGGCUUGUCGCGUCGACUGUGAAAUCCCGCGGCUCGAACUGCGGGUCUGCAGUCGAUACGGGCAGGCUAGAGUUCGGUAGGGGAGACUGGAAUUCCUGGUGUAGCGGUGAAAUGCGCAGAUAUCAGGAAGAACACCGAUGGCGAAGGCAGGUCUCUGGGCCGAUACUGACGCUGAGGAGCGAAAGCCGUGGGGAGCGAACAGG